UACGAAGGGGGGCUAGCGUUGCUCGGAAUUACUGGGCGUAAAGCGCACGUAGGCGGCUUGUUAAGUCAGGGGUGAAAUCCUGGAGCUCAACUCCAGAACUGCCUUUGAUACUGGCGAGCUUGAGUUCGGGAGAGGUGAGUGGAACUGCGAGUGUAGAGGUGAAAUUCGUAGAUAUUCGCAAGAACACCCGUGGCGAAGGCGGCUCUCUGGAACGCAACUGACGCUGAGACGCGAAAGCGUGGGGAGCAAACAGG
rnacentral:rRNA from 1 species